GCAGGCCGCUGAAGGAUGACCUUAUGACCCCACCACUAGGCUCAGCAGGUGUUUUGGGGGAAACCCUGGAUGUGUUUCCAGCUUCAGGACUAAAAACACUCAGAGAUUUUCUGUAUGAAUAAUGAAAUUACAACAACUGAAGAUGGUUUGCAGAGUAUCUACUGCUAGUAAUCUGUGUGCAGGUGAACACACCUCUGCUGUGAGAGGGGCGGAGCCUCAGG